GUAAUGUAUAGGAAUCUACCUAGUAGUACGGAAUAAUUGUUGGAAACGGCAACUAAUACCGUAUACGCCCUACGGGGGAAAGAUUUAUCGCUAUUAGAUGAGCCUAUAUUAGAUUAGCUAGUUGGUAAGGUAAUGGCUUACCAAGGCAAUGAUCUAUAGCUGAUCUGAGAGGAUGAUCAGCCACACUGGAACUGAGAUACGGUCCAGACUCCUACGGGAGGCAGCAGUGGGGAAUAUUGGACAAUGGGCGAAAGCCUGAUCCAGCCAUGCCGCAUGAGUGAAGAAGGCCUUUGGGUUGUAAAGCUCUUUCGGUGAGGAAGAUAAUGACGGUACUCACAGAAGAAGUCCUGGCUAACUCCGUGCCAGCAGCCGCGGUAAUACGGAGAGGGCUAGCGUUAUUCGNAAUUAUUGGGCGUAAAGAGCGCGUAGGCUGGUUAGUAAGUUAAAAGUGAAAUCCCAAAGCUCAACUUUGGAAUUGCUUUUAAAACUGCUAACCUANANAUUGAA
rnacentral:rRNA from 1 species